GUGUUACUUAAGCGACAUCUAUACUAAAAUUGAAACAAUCUAGAGAAGAUUAGUGUGACCCCCGUGCACAGAGAGCAUGAAAAUUCAUGAAGCAGUACAUAUUUUU